GACGAACCGUGCGAACGUUAUUCGGAAUCACUGGGCUUACAGAGUUCGUAGGCGGUUCUACAAGGGGGGUGUGAAAGCCCUCGGCUCAACCGAGGAACUGCGCUCCAAACUGUAGAACUAGAGGGAGAUAGAGGUGAGCGGAACUGAUGGUGGAGCGGUGAAAUGCGUUGAUAUCAUCAGGAACACCGGAGGCGAAGGCGGCUCACUGGGUCUCUUCUGACGCUGAGGAACGAAAGCUAGGGGAGCAAACGGG
rnacentral:rRNA from 1 species